rnacentral:lncRNA from 1 species
AUGAGCUUGACAGAGCACUCUGUGAAAGCUCUGACAGCACUACAGAGCACCGCUGCAGUGGUGCUUACCACUGAGAGCUUUGUGUGAUCAAGACUGCAGGCCAUCAACGCCAUGUAUGUGGGGUAAACUACAAGACAGAGGUCUUGAGAGGCAUUGGUGAUUGGUCAGGAUUAAAAAAAAAGAAUUUUGGACAAAGCUGUGGUGUCAUCGACGAUGGCUAUUCUUAUGUUGAAGAACUUCUCCAAAUGCUGAAAAUUUAUGCGAAGAAAAAAGAUCUGAAGUAAAUUCACCACUUCCUCAUCCUCUACUACAUUUUAUAAUUGGCUGAUUUCAUAACAUUUUCUAAUAGAGUUCCUUUGAGGUAAUAUACACCAUUUUUUAAUUACUACUUCUAGAGAGCAAGAAUUGAAAAUCACAUGAGAUUUCUUGUUUCCAGGUUGGUAUUUAGGUGAAUCUUUUAGAAAUAGCAAGUAGAAUCGUGCCACCUGUUAAUCCCCGACCAGCUUUCCUUUUCAUUCUCUCAUCUGUUCACUUGCUCUUAUUGCUGGCAAAUGUCCAAGCUUGUCUACGUGGAUGUAAGUGAGCAGAAAAGGGU